rnacentral:rRNA from 1 species
CCUACGGGUGGCAGCAGUGAGGAAUAUUGGUCAAUGGACGAGAGUCUGAACCAGCCAAGUAGCGUGAAGGAUGACUGCCCUAUGGGUUGUAAACUUCUUUUAUAUGGGAAUAAAAUGUUCCACGUGUGGGAUUUUGUAUGUACCAUAUGAAUAAGGAUCGGCUAACUCCGUGCCAGCAGCCGCGGUAAUACGGAGGAUCCGAGCGUUAUCCGGCUUUAUUGGGUUUAAAGGGAGCGUAGGUGGAUUGUUAAGUCAGUUGUGAAAGUUUGCGGCUCAACCGUAAAAGUGCAGUUGAAACUGGCAGUCUUGAGUACAGUAGAGGUGGGCGGAAUUCGUGGUGUAGCGGUGAAAUGCUUAGAUAUCACGAAGAACUCCGAUUGCGAAGGCAGUUCACUGGACUGCAACUGACACUGAGGCUCGAAAGUGUGGGUAUCAAACAGGAUUAGAUACCCCUGUAGUC